UACUCGAGUGGCGAACGGGUGAGUAACACGUGGGUGAUCUGCCCUGCACUUCGGGAUAAGCUUGGGAAACUGGGUAUAAUACCGGAUAGGAACCAUCUUUAGUGUGGUGGUUGGAAAGUUUUUUCGGUGUAGGAUGAGCUCGCGGCCUAUCAGCUUGUUGGUGGGGUAAUGGCCUACCAAGGCGGCGACGGGUAGCCGGCCUGAGAGGGUGUACGGCCACAUUGGGACUGAGAUACGGCCCAG
rnacentral:rRNA from 1 species